CUAUGGCUUAGUAAAAGUCAUGGCGGAAGGAG
rfam:Clostridium sp. CAG:533 genomic scaffold, scf40